rnacentral:lncRNA from 1 species
UUCGGUGCAGAUCCGGUAGAUGGAAUGAAAAUUCACGGUUUACAUCGCCAACACAACUCGCAUUUAACCACCGUUUCGAAAACGAUGUCACAAUGUCGAUCGCAUUUUUCUCCGCAACGACGAAACGCGGUCACCAGAGCUACCAGUACCAUAAUCCCGAAAAAACGACUACCGCUACGAGGCAGUAGAAACUAGUAGAAACGUCAGACCUAUAUUCAGAAAAGUAGUCGAAUUGUCUCGGUAGCCGCAAAGCCACGGGAAAGAAAACGAUAGCGAUGAAUUGGCUGCAAGAGGGUUGCUGGGCGGAGUGGCUGCAAGAGGGCCAAUAAGGAAAAUGCCUGGUCGAAUGGCGGAGCAUCGUGCUCCGCUACACGGUCCAUAUAAGUGUCCGUCCCGAGAGAAGCCGGUCGCGGUACAUCAGAUAAGAAAACCUGGUCUCGGAAUAGAACCCUAUUAUGUUUGCUAUAAGUGGCCGUGGCCAAGGCUACGAGGAGAUGCGAGAGCGGGUCCUGCAGGCGGACCAACAGGGAGAUAAGAAAAAUGCCUGGGCCGGCCCUCGUCGUAACCGCAGAAGUUGUAAUUAUACAGUGAUAUUACUACCGAAAAGAAUGAGGGACGACGGAAGCUGGUAUACGUGGAAGUGGUGUUCCCGGAGACCGCCGGCAUUUUACCCUGAAUCUGGAUGAAGAUACGUCGUCGCCAGAUAACAGCCGCCACGAGAACGAGUAUUUAUUGUUGGCCCCAGAAGCCGGUUAAAGGAUGGAACGAAAGAAUUCCCUGAUGAACGGUGGAAUGAAAUCGUAAUUGGAUGAAACUCCUUUUGUAGCGGCCACUUCCACCCUCCACUCCCCUUUAUCUGGCCAUCAUCGCCCUGUCUCUGUCUGCCCCUUCGGA